CACUGCUGCUACAAGGACGUGGAAGACAGUGUUGGCGGGGUAACUGUUGGCAAGUUCCUCGGGGCGCGGCCACCACAGGUGAGUGGUGGACGGCGCGGCUUCGCACAGGUGUGGAGGAUGCUGUGAUGGGGCAGAGGACACAAGAGGCCGGAUGUCGGGGUAUUGCGACAGGUGUGUGGGCCACCUGAGCCCUCACUCCCACGCCCAUGCUGUACCCUUCCCGCAGCCCCAGACCACACCCACACCCACCCACACUCGAGUUUAUAAGAGUGCGCCACGCAAAAUCUUUUUAUCUGUGGAAGCCAUCCUGUGCUGUUGAGGAUACGAGGGAACGCGUUACUUGCCACGUGCGGAAAAAAAAAGAAAAAAAAGAAAGGACAGAAUAAAAGAAGAGCGUGUCAGAAUGAAAGAAGGGAAAAAAUAGAAGAGAGAAAAAAAAGAAAGAAUGUCAAUUAUGGAAAGAAAGAAAAGGAAAAUGACACGUGCCGGAAUGAAAGCAGAGGAAAAGAAGAGAGAAAGAAAGAAAGAAAAAUGUCCGUUGUGAAAAAGAAAGGAAAAGAAUAAAAGAAACGUGUCGCGGAUUGAAAGCAAAGAGAGAGAGAGAGAGAGAGAGAGAGAGAGAGAGAGAGAGAGAGAGAGAGAGAGAGAGAGAGAGAGAGAGGAAGCGCAUUCCCACGGCUAUUACUAAAUGCACUUCCGUUUCUUCUUCAUGCGUGGCCUAAUUUUUUUUACUUUCUUUCUUCCCCUUGUCCUCGCUACCUUACUCCCCUUCUCUCUCUCUCUCUCUCUCUCUCUCUCUCUCUCUCUCUCUCUCUCUCUCUCUCUCUCUCUCUCUC